GAGCCUGUGGCUCAAAACGGUAGGGCGCUGGCCUCAUAUGCCAGAGGUGGCAGGUUCAAACCCAGCCCCGGCCA
rnacentral:tRNA from 1 species